rnacentral:rRNA from 1 species
GACGAACGCUGGCGGCGUGCUUAACACAUGCAAGUCGAACGGAAAGGCCCUGCUUUUGUGGUGUGCUCGAGUGGCGAACGGGUGCGUAACACGUGAGUAACCUGCCCUUGUCUUUGGGAUAACUUCAGGAAACUGGGGCUAAUACCGGAUCGGAGCUCCUGCUGCGUGGUGGGCGUUGGAAAGUCUCGGCGGUUGGGGAUGGACUAGCGGCUUAUCAGCUUGCUGGUGGGGUAGUGGCUUACCCAGGCUUUGACGGGUCGCCGGCCUGAGAGGGUGACCGGCCACAAUGGGACUGAGAUACGGAGCAGACUCCAACGGGAGGCAGCAGGGGGGAAUAUUGCACAAUGAGCGGGAGCCUGAUGCAGAAACGCCGCGUGCGGGAUGACGGCCUUCGGGUUGUAAACCGCUUUCGCCUGUGACGAAGCGUGAGUGACGGUAAUGGGUAAAGAAGCACCGGCUAACUACGUG